UAACACUAAAAUUUAAGUAAAUCACAAAAUGAAACUAUUAAUAAUAUAAGUUAUCCAACAAGCUAAUAAUAUCCAUAAAGCAAAUGUUCUACCCCAAGUGCAUAAGUUUAAUACAUUUCAAGAUAGUAAGUUUCAGAAUGUUGUUAACAAAAGAUUCCUAGAACAUUCAUCUAUAGCAAUUCAAAAUUCAUCUUAAGUAAGGUCUAGAUCUUCACUGCAUUCACCUUUCAUUUCUUGAUCUAAUCCACCUACAAAAGAGGAUAAAUUAAGUCAUUACCCUUCAAGAGAAUCCGGUCGAAGAAUGCUCAUAGCACACCCAAAGAUAUUGAAUGCUUGGGCAAAAUAUAUGGAACAAAAAAGAAAAGAAAAGAUUAGACAUACAAGAUGCUAGUCAUGAGCCUAGCUCUUCUACAGAUAAACACGUUAUGUAGACCCAAAAUUAGGCAUCAAAUGUGCGUGCAAGCUGCUAAAAAAGAACAUAGCAUAUGUUACUGACCUUUCCCAGCAGUAGUUUAGAGAGGAAUAAGAAAAAUCCAUUGAAAUAGAGAAUGUUACAAGCAUACCAGAUCAAGAUAAGAAUGCAAAAAGUUAGCAACAACAAGAUGAUUUGAUAGGAAUCUAUGGGAUCAAGAAUAACAAUGAAGUUUAUUCUCUAUCUUAGGAUGUUUAGGGAACAAUAUACGAAUAUAGUCUUAUAUGUUUUUAUAAUCUUUCCCUAAAUAUCCUAGGACGGAGAAUAAACCCCAUCGCCAACCUACAUUAAGAAAAUUAUUCACUCCACGAAUAUACUCAUCCGCCCAUCUUAGGAGAUUCAUCCAACUUUUAUCACCAUAAUCCAUGGAUAUCCUAUAUAACAUGGUCAAAUCACCAAAAUUAAUAUUCAAGCUAAGAAAAGUUACAUCUCGAUACUAUAUUAUUAUUACCAAGAAAAAAUAUAGCAUAUUGCUUUUAGAAAGAAUAACAAGAAAGGUCUUUACAGUAAUACAUAAACAAGCACUAUAAUAAAAAAAAUAAUCUAAUGAACCAAAGAACAAAAAAUGCAUUGCAUUAGUCAGUAUAACGACACCGUCUUUUGGCAACUAGACAAUAUACCUUAUAUCAAGGCACACAAACAACUAUGGCAGAGACUCAAGACGACUGGACAUAAUCAAAACAUAUAUAUAAUUGGACUCGUAAUUGGAAGAAAAUAUAUCUCUGCACAAUGCAAAAAAUUAUAAGCGAUGACAAAAGGAAUGCUCCAUCUCGUUAUACUUCUAUUCAAGCGAUGACAAAAGGAAGUAUAAAAUAGUACAAUUUCAGGCCACCUCUUGCUUGUAGAGUUGAAUUCAAAUGAAAAUUGAGUGCAGAAUUAGCGUAUCUAGUUCAUGCAAAAGACAAACUAGAUUACACCCAGUAAGAGAGGGACUCUUUCCAACCUUGAUCGCAGUAAAGUGGAACAGCACAACACCUAUAAGUUCAUCAUAAAUCCAGGUACUCAUAUUUCAAAAAAUUGAAGAAAAUCCCUUGUAAAAUGGAAAUGGAAAGACAACACUAAUAUUAUAGCACCAUGUCAAUCUCAUAGACAAUCAUAAAUGUCCUCAUUAUUCCUAACGAAUGAAUGAAAUAAAAAAUCAAGAUAACCACAUGCAGAUCAAAAGUUAAGUCUUCCUUGGCAAUCACAAUCUACUCUGAUAAAAGAAAGAAAGAAACUCACACCAUAGUAGAAACUUCUAGUUCUUAUACAACACAUAUAUUCAGUUGAAUAAGAUGCAACGUAAUUAUAACUUUAUUCACUUAUCACAAAUAAUUGACUUCAGUCAAUCUUAACCGUGAGUCUGUGAUGGGAGAUUCCAGAAAGGCAACUAUAGUCUCGAAACAGCUCAAGGACUCAAGUCAACUCAACAUUCAAUCAUCUUUUUCUAGUUAACAACAAUAUACAUACCCAGUGUAUUCCCACAAGUGGGUCUGGGGAGGUAGAGUGUAUGCAGACCUUACCUCUGCCUUUAAAAGACAGAGAGGCUGCUUCCGGAAGACCCUCGGCAUUUUUUUCUAGUUGCUAAAUUGAAUUAACAAAGUUGUUAAAGAGUGAACUAAUAUGAUUGUUAAAGAACACCUUUGCAAAUUAACGAAUUCCGUAAAAGCUGCAGCAAAUGGAAAACAAAGAGAUCAAAGAGGGUCAUCUUCAGAAAUGUGACCACAACGACAUAUAUUUGUUUCUCAAUCUAUAAUGCUGAAAAGAUGAAGCUUUAAAUUCAGGAAGAGGUGAACCCCAGAAACACGCUGAAAAUAAUAACACGGGCAAAACUGAAAGAACCCCUUGAAAAGUUGCACAUUCAGCAAGAAUUUCACCCGAACACCUCCCAAUUUAAUAUCAAUCAAAGCCCAAAAGGCUAAUUAAGACAAGACCCAAAAACAAUAAAAAUUAAGUACCAAAAAUCCUACAAAGAUCAAAACUUUAACUAAAAUCUUCAUCAGGGUAUCUCAAGAAAAAAAACUAAAAUACCAGAAUUUCUUCCAAAGCUAGCUCCUUUACCAGGAAUUUUCAUCAGGGUACCUCAAGAAACAAGCUAAAUACCAAAAAUUCAUCUCAAGGUAGCUCUUUUACCAGGAAUUAUCAUCAGGGUACCUCAAGAAACAAAGCUAAAUACCAAAAAUUCAUCUCAAGGUAGCUCCUUUACCAUGAAUUACCAUCAGGGUACCUCAAGAAACAAGCUAAAUACCAAAAAAUCUUGCCAAGGUAGCUCUUUUACCAGGAAUUAUCAUCAGGAUACCUCAAGAAACAAGCUAAAUACCAAAAAUUCUUGUAAAGAUAGCACCUUUACUAGGAAUUAUCAUCAGGGUAUUUCAAGAAAAGGCAUUAAUCAAACAAAUUAAUAGAAGAAAAUAGAAGGAAAAAAAGUCAAAAAGAUUAUGAGGAUUCACCAGUGGAGGUUGAACUCGAAAACCUCUAUGUGCAUUUGGAGACCUUUCAAUUGUUUGGUCCAUUUCUGUAAUGAAAAUUUCAUGCACAAAAGAUUCAAAAUUUCGCCCCUUAGAAGAAUCAGAUCAAGAGAGCUAAAAUCCCAAAGAAGAGCUUCGGGCCCAAAAUCAUGAAUGAGGCCCAAAAUCAACACCCACAAGAGUUAAAGAAACUUUUGCAAUAAGAGUAUGUUUACCGAUUUUUAGAUUUGGAGAAACCCUAAAGGAUUAGCACGCGGCCGUCGGUGCGGCCGAUGAUAGAUGACCAGUCGAUCCUCUCCUACUAAUUUCCGGAAGAACAAAGGUGUUGGAGCCUGGAGGAGAAUAUUUAAGGACACAGAUCUUAAUUUUGUGAGUGUGGAUGGUACUAAAAUUAGGGGUUUUAGAUAUUU
rnacentral:lncRNA from 1 species